rnacentral:rRNA from 1 species
UACGUAGGUGGCAAGCGUUGUCCGGAUUUACUGGGCGUAAAGAGCGCGCAGGCGGUCGUUCAAGUCGCGUGUGAAAGCCCCCGGCUCAACUGGGGAGGGUCACGCGAUACUGAUCGACUGGAAGGCAGGAGAGGGUAGUGGAAUUCCCGGUGUAGUGGUGAAAUGCGUAGAUAUUCGCAAGAACACCAGUGGCGAAGGCGGCUGUCUGGUCCGGUUCUGACGCUGAGGCGCGAAAGCGUGGGGAGCAAACAGG